AUACGGAGGGUGCAAGCGUUGUUCGGAAUUACUGGGCGUAAAGCGCGCGUAGGCGGUCUGUUAUGUCAGAUGUGAAAGUCCAUGGCUCAACCAUGGAAGUGCAUUUGAAACUGGCAGACUUGAGUACUGGAGGGGGUGGUGGAAUUCCCGGUGUAGAGGUGAAAUUCGUAGAUAUCGGGAGGAAUACCGGUGGCGAAGGCGACCACCUGGCCAGAUACUGACGCUGAGGUGCGAAAGCGUGGGGAGCAAACAGGAUUAGAAACCCCAGUAGUCC
rnacentral:rRNA from 1 species